AUGCACGACCUGUGUGUGUGUGUCGGGGGAGGGGGGAGAGCAGCCGCGAGGGGCGGGCGAGCGGACGGGCGGCAGCACCGGCACCAGGGUCCGGCGCGCCCUCGGCGACUCUCAGCACCUCCCCGUUACUGGCGCCGGCGCUCCCGGGCCAUCUCCCUCCGUCCACACCACGCUCACUCUCAACCCGGGGAGAGGCGCCACCUACACGGCGGAAGCGGCCAACGGGGGGGGGAGGGGGGCAAUAAGACGCGUCCUGCUCAGCCCGGCGGAGAGCAACUGCCUUCUCCGCCUUCUCCUCCUUCGCCGCCUCCUGCCCUCCUCUUCCCCAGCCGCCCCUUGGCCCUUCUCCGCCAGCCGCCGCCGCCGCCGGUGCCGCCGCUGCCGCUCCACCAACUACAUCCGGGCAACUCCGAGGCUGCGGCCUUCGGCAAACCUCGGCAGUUUCCGCCGCGCCCCUCCUCUGCCACCCUCGGCCCUCCUCCCCUUCCGCGCGCAACUCCGGCACGCCGUCUUCGGCAAACCUCGGCUCGAUCCCCUUUUCCUCUUCCUCUUCCUCUGAGGCCUGGCUCAACGCCUCCACACCCGUCAGUGCUUUCCGGUUGCCGCUGCUUUUUCUCAGGCUCACGCCGGCCACUGCCGUUCCAGUUUAAGGAGACUCCUGCCUGGGGACCAGCUCGAGGCUGGUCCCAGGGGCCCCGGGGUGCGCCGGGAAGGAGCCGCCUUCGGGAAGAGGACGGUGGGGCGCCGGAGAAGCCAUCUCGGACUAAAUAAGGGAGGCUGGGCUACUGCGCUUGCGCCGAGGUGGGGGCACAAGAGGGGGGGGGGUUGUCCUCCCAGAGCGCUCUGUCUGCAGGUGCCCGCCCCUCCGGGCUGCAGCGGGGUGGUCGCAAACCCCUCGUUAGGCGACCGGAGAACGGUUAUCCUGGGACUUCCUCCGCGAGCAGCGAUCGAAGCUCGUGUCAGCGAGGUGGGGAGGGCGCGACUGCCCUCUCGGGCCCUGUCCCUGGAUCCGGAACUGGGCCUGGGCACCAGCCUCACACCGGACGCUUAACGCGCCGCAGUACUGGGACUAGCAGGGCUGCUUCAAGCUGGCGCACGGCCGGUUAGAACAAAGUGAAAGCUGUCCUGUAUUUGUAAGUCCAGGAAGGCUGUGUGUGCUGUGUCUUGUGGAGAAAACGUGUCCUAGAGAAACUUCCUUCUUGGCCAUGAGGUUAUGUAUUUUGUAUUCAAGAUUAUGUAUUUUGAUUAACAAAAAUGUGACCAGAGUCAGGUACCUCACCCUAUAUUUCCCCUAGGGGCAGCUCACUAUUUAUUGUGACUUUACAGAACAUUACCUCAAAUAAUGAGAAUUAACUGUUUACUAAAGGACACAUUUAAAUGUUAUGCCCAUUUUUUUAAAGUCAUCUCAUUGUCUACCUUAGAUUCCAUCAUCCAUUGUUUUAAAUCCUCCUUUGCAAAUGCCUCGAUUCUUUCCUUAUCUCUUCCUUCAUUUUCCUGUAUAACCACAACCCUGCUCAUUUCACUGUAUGCUUGCUUCACAGCGAUUGAAGUUGGCUGGAGAAAAACACAAUCAUGCUAACUCUGAAGUGAGCUCCUUGUGUUUUCACCCCACCCCCAGUCUAAUUUCCCUUAUACAUUUACCUACCCUGUGCUCUUCGGCAGCUGUUUAGCAUCUUUCUUCCUGACUAUACAUGUCCUCUCCUCACUCAGAAGUCAUUAUCUUGCUUAUCUCUUUAGAAAAAUAGAAGAAAACUGGCUGGUGUAGCUCAGUGGACUGAGCGCAGGCCUGCGAACCAGAGGAUGGUGGUUCAAUUCCCAGUCAGGGCACAUGCCUGGGUUGCAGGCCAGUUCCCUGCAGGCAAGUUCCCAGCAGGGGGCGCACUAGAGGCAACCGUACAUUGAUGUUUCCCUCUCUCCUUCCCCUCUAAAGAUAAAUAAAUAAAAUCUUAAAAAAAAGAAAAUCAGAAAUCAGUAACAGUGCCUGCCUCCUCCCACCAUUGCACCUACCAACCUUCCUACAUCUGAAUACACUGCUACACUCCAGUAACUCAGAUUUCCUGAGACCAAACUUGCCACUUUUGCCCUGAGUUCCAUUUUACUCUUGGAAUUGUCUGUUCUUAUAAAAAAUUUUUUCUCUCAACUGGAUCACCUCCAUCAACUUAUAAAGAUAUUUUAAUAAUUACCAUCCUUAAAAAAAAAAAGGACACAUCUUGACUUGUAUCUCCCUCUAGAUGUUACCCUUUUGCUAUGAUCUGUUCUCCUCUACUGAAAAACUUCACUUCCACUGAACCUGCACAAGAUCAACAGUAGCCUCCAUGUUCUCAAAUCCAAUUUUUCUUAUUCGGUCUUCAUUUCACUUCACCUGUCAGCAGCAUUUGAAACAGCUGACAACAUACUCUCUUCCUUUUGAAGUGCCUUAUCUUGCCUGCCUUGAUUCCACUGUAUUUCUCUCUUGCUUCUCUUCUUAAAUGGCUGUUCUGUAGUUUACUUGCUGAUUCCGCCUAUUUUCCAGUCUCUAAAAGCUGCAGUGCCUCACAAUUCAAAUCUCACAACUUGUACUGAUUCUCCUCUUUCCGUUCUCUUUCCCUAAAAUCUUUAGCUAAAGAUCCCAUCCAGAUCUUUAGCUAAAUGAAAUCUAUAUCUGAAUGCCCAGCCUACACUUUUAUCCUGAACAUUGGACCCACAGUUAACUGCCUACUCUACAGCACUGUUUAAAUGUCUAACAGGCAUCACACACUUAUUGUAUAUAAAGCCAAACUUAAUUUCUCCCCACCCCCAACCCAGUCCUGAUCAGAUCUUACCUAUUUUAUGAAAUAGCUCCAUUCUUCCAGGUAAGGCUAAAAAUAUGGGAAUCAUCCUUGAUUCUUUUAUACCUCACAUUCACUUCAUCAGCAAAUCCCGUGAAUAUUAUUUCCAAAAUAUACCCCAAAUCUGAUCUCUGUUCACCACCUUUAUCACAUUCACUCCAGUCUAAGCUACUAUCUUCCUAUACAUGGGCCAUAGCAAAGGCCUCAUAACUGAUUUCCCACUUUUACACUUGCUUCCACAUGGCUUCCACAACAGUCAGCGAUCCUUUAAGUCAGUAUCAUUCCUAUCUUAAAGCCCACCAAUAGCUUCCUGUCUCACUCAGAAUAAAAGCCAAAGCUCUUACAUGGUCUAUGAGGCUCUUUGUGAGCUGCCCCCACCCAUGUUACCUCUGGCUUUGUGUUCUUGCUCAUUCUUUUCCCACCAAUCUAACCUCCCCUUCUCAACAGUAUGUUGAGCAUGUUUCUGUCUCAGGAUGUUUAUACCUCUAUCCUGCCUAGAAUGCUCGUCUUGGUACUUACUUACUUGGCUCACGCUGUCACUUCUUUAGGUCUAUGCUCAAAUCUCACUUUAUCACAAAGGUCUUUCCUCUAAGAACUGUAUAAAAAUGGAAUGCGAGCACCCUCUCCUCCUUGUUCUAUUUUUCUUACACAGUUUGCUACAUAAUUUUGUUAUAUAUCUUGUUUAUUGGUUAUCUCUUUCUAGAAUGAAAGUUCUAUGUGAUGUAUGACUUAAAUAUUUGUUGAAAGAAAGGAUAUUUGCCUGCAAAAAUAUAUACAAAGAAAACAACGAACUAUUAUAGUUCUAAUGAGAAAAAGGUGUAUGGUUCUAUUCCUUCUAAAAGUGAAAUUGUAAAUCCAGUCCUGCUGUCACAAAUAGAGUGAGGGAAAGCUGGAUUAUUCCCAAUACAAAUAAAAUAUUUUAACAUAACAUUUUUAAAAGUACAUAAAAUUUGCACAUAUAACAUCUUAA